CGUUAUAACCGGCGAUACCCGAAUGGGGAAACCCAGUGUGAUUCGUCACACUAUCAUUAACUGAAUCCAUAGGUUAAUGAGGCGAACCGGGGGAACUGAAACAUCUAAGUACCCCGAGGAAAAGAAAUCAACCGAGAUUCCCCCAGUAGCGGCGAGCGAACGGGGAGGAGCCCAGAGCCUGAAUCAGCAUGUGUGUUAGUGGAAGCGUCUGGAAAGGCGCGCGAUACAGGGUGACAGCCCCGUACACAAAAGCGCAUGUGCUGUGAGCUCGAUGAGUAGGGCGGGACACGUGGUAUCCUGUCUGAAUAUGGGGGGACCAUCCUCCAAGGCUAAAUACUCCUGACUGACCGAUAGUGAACCAGUACCGUGAGGGAAAGGCGAAAAGAACCCCGGCGAGGGGAGUGAAAAAGAACCUGAAACCGUGUACGUACAAGCAGUGGGAGCACCCUUCGGGGUGUGACUGCGUACCUUUUGUAUAAUGGGUCAGCGACUUAUAUUCUGUAGCAAGGUUAACCGUAUAGGGGAGCCGGAGGGAAACCGAGUCUUAAUUGGGCGUUAAGUUGCAGGGUAUAGACCCGAAACCCGGUGAUCUAGCCAUGGGCAGGUUGAAGGUUGGGUAACACUAACUGGAGGACCGAACCGACUAAUGUUGAAAAAUUAGCGGAUGACCUGUGGCUGGGGGUGAAAGGCCAAUCAAACCGGGAGAUAGCUGGUUCUCCCCGAAAGCUAUUUAGGUAGCGCCUCGUGAAUUCAUCUCCGGGGGUAGAGCACUGUUUCGGCUAGGGGGCCAUCCCGGCUUACCAACCCGAUGCAAACUGCGAAUACCGGAGAAUGUUAUCACGGGAGACACACGGCGGGUGCUAACGUCCGUCGUGAAGAGGGAAACAACCCAGACCGCCAGCUAAGGUCCCAAAGUCAUGGUUAAGUGGGAAACGAUGUGGGAAGGCCCAGACAGCCAGGAUGUUGGCUUAGAAGCAGCCAUCAUUUAAAGAAAGCGUAAUAGCUCACUGGUCGAGUCGGCCUGCGCGGAAGAUGUAACGGGGCUAAACCAUGCACCGAAGCUGCGGCAGCGAACGUAUCACCCAAGACAACUUUACGGAGUUGACGAUUGACGGAGCGAAGCGACGUCAAAGCGUUCAUUAAAGUCGAGUUGGCUUAGGGAUACGUUCGUUGGGUAGGGGAGCGUUCUGUAAGCCUGUGAAGGUGUGUCGUGAGGCAUGCUGGAGGUAUCAGAAGUGCGAAUGCUGACAUAAGUAACGAUAAAGCGGGUGAAAAGCCCGCUCGCCGGAAGACCAAGGGUUCCUGUCCAACGUUAAUCGGGGCAGGGUGAGUCGACCCCUAAGGCGAGGCCGAAAGGCGUAGUCGAUGGGAAACGGGUUAAUAUUCCCGUACUUGGUGUUACUGCGAAGGGGGGACGGAGAAGGCUAUGUUGGCCGGGCGACGGUUGUCCCGGUUUAAGCGUGUAGGUGUGUGUUCCAGGUAAAUCCGGUUCACUUUAACACUGAGGCGUGACGACGAGGCACUACGGUGCUGAAGCAACAAAUGCCCUGCUUCCAGGAAAAGCCUCUAAGCAUCAGGUAACACGAAAUCGUACCCCAAACCGACACAGGUGGUCAGGUAGAGAAUACCAAGGCGCUUGAGAGAACUCGGGUGAAGGAACUAGGCAAAAUGGUGCCGUAACUUCGGGAGAAGGCACGCUGACACGUAGGUGAAGUGAUUUACUCAUGGAGCUGAAGUCAGUCGAAGAUACCAGCUGGCUGCAACUGUUUAUUAAAAACACAGCACUGUGCAAACACGAAAGUGG
rnacentral:rRNA from 1 species